rnacentral:rRNA from 1 species
AGGACGAACGCUGGCGGCGUGCUUAACACAUGCAAGUCGAACGGGGAUCAUCGGGCGGAAGGCUUCGGCCGGAAGGCUGGUGAUUCCAGUGGCGGACGGGUGAGUAACGCGUGAACAAUCUGUCCCAGACAGGGGGAUAACACUUGGAAACAGGUGCUAAUACCGCAUGAGACCACGGUGUCGCAUGGCACAGGGGUAAAAGGAGCGAUCCGGUUUGGGGUGAGUUCGCGUCCGAUUAGCCAGUUGGCGGGGUAACGGCCCACCAAAGCGACGAUCGGUAGCCGACCUGAGAGGGUGAUCGGCCACAUUGGAACUGAGAGACGGUCCAAACUCCUACGGGAGGCAGCAGUGGGGAAUAUUGGGCAAUGGGCGAAAGCCUGACCCAGCAACGCCGCGUGAGUGAAGAAGGCCUUCGGGUUGUAAAGCUCUGUUAUAGGGGACGAAGUGCGUGACGGUACCCUAUAAGGAAGCCCCGGCUAACUACGUGCCAGCAGCCGC